GAGAUGAGUUCUCCCUGAGACUAUAAGUCUCCUGAAGGAACGUUGAAGACGACGACGUUGAUAGGCCGGGUGUGUAAGCGCAGCGAUGCGUUGAGCUAACCGGUACUAAUGAACCGUGAGGCUUAACCUUACAACGCCGAAG
rnacentral:rRNA from 1 species